UCUGCCUUCCAACCUCUCUCUCUCUCUCUCUCUCUCUCUUAAAACCUGUAUUGUGACAUCCAACCGUUUCUCAUUCAUAUCAUCUCCCUCACUUUAUUCUCUCCCUCUCACUUCUUUUUUUAAACCAUCUCUUUGCUCAUUCUUUUUCUAUACCCAAAAAUCCAUUUCUCUUCUUCACAAUCCUCAGGUUUGAUUAGGUAUAUAGAUAUGGUGAUGAUGAGUUUGGAAAGGUUGGUGGUGAACCUCAAGUCAAAACUGAGGUCUCUGAAAUUGAAGAAACCAGAUUAUGACAAGAUCGAGAAGAGCGAGAGCAUGAGAGUCGAGAUUAGGAGCAGGAAGGCUCGCAAGCUCGUCGAAGAAACUCUCAAAAUUGCUGACUCUCCUAAGAGCAGAACUUAUGCUUUCUGAAUAAACAAAUAAAAAUUUGUGAAACCAUACUGUUCUUCUCUCCUACGACGUCCACCAUAUGCAUGGUGUUCCUUAGUUGAUAAAGAGUUUUAUCUUUUUAGUUGUCACUACUCUCUCUCUCUCUCUCUCUCUCUGAGUAUUAUAUCAACAACAUAUGGUGUAUAUUUUACCAGAAAUAUGGUCACUGUAGAAGUAGAAGAGAUAAUAUAUAAGCAUUAGAAAAAAGGGAUGCAUAUACUUUUUAAUUGCAUAUAAAGAAUAUCUAUAUGACUAUUAAUUUGUGUUUGUGUU